rnacentral:rRNA from 1 species
UGGGGAAUAUUGGACAAUGGGGGGAACCCUGAUCCAGCCAUGCCGCGUGUGUGAAGAAGGCCUUAUGGUUGUAAAGCACUUUAAGCGAGGAGGAGGGUACUGGUAUUAAUACUACCAGGUACUGGACGUUACUCGCAGAAUAAGCACCGGCUAACUCUGUGCCAGCAGCCGCGGUAAUACAGAGGGUGCGAGCGUUAAUCGGAUUUACUGGGCGUAAAGCGUGCGUAGGCGGCUAAUUGAGUCGGAUGUGAAAUCCCCGAGCUUAACUUGGGAAUUGCAUUCGAUACUGGUUAGCUAGAGUGUGGGAGAGGAUGGUAGAAUUCCAGGUGUAGCGGAGAAAUGCGUAGAGAUCUGGAGGAAUACCGAUGGCGAAGGCAGCCAUCUGGCAUAACACUGACGCUGAGGUACGAAAGCAUGGGGAGCAAACAGG